rnacentral:lncRNA from 10 species
UUUUUUUUUUUUUGGAGAAGGAGUUUCGCUCUUGUUGCACAGGCUGGACUGCAAUGGCGUGUUAUCAGCUCACCGCAACCUCUGCCACUCGGGUUCAAGAGAUUCUCCUGCCUCAGCCUCCCAAGUAGCUGGGAUUAUAGGCAUGUGCCACCAUGCCCAGCUAAUUUUUUUUUUUUUUUUGUAUUUUUAGUAGAGGGAGUUUCUUCAUGUUCAUCAGGCUGGUCUCAAACUCCCGACCUCAGGUGAUCCACUCGCCUCAGCCUACCAAAGUGUGGGGAUUACAGGAGUGAGCCACCGUGCCUGGUCUGACAAAUUCAUUUUCUGUUUGGUUUGGUCUGCUCUGUUUCCAACAAGAGCCUACUUCAUUAUCUCCCCAAUAUAUCUACCUAGUCCAUAGACUGGCUCAGAGCAGGCCUUUGACAAUAUUUAAUUUUAUCCCACAAUGGCAUUUCAAUUCCUUUGUCAUUCUGAGAAAAAUACUAACAGCAUGGGAAUUUGGUGCAUGGAUCAUUAACAGUAAGACAUUAAAAUCAAAAUGUAGGCAGGAUGCAGUGACUCACGCCUGUAAUCCCAGCACUUCGGGAGGCAAGGCAGGCGGAUCAUGAGGUCAGGAGACCGAAACCAUCCUGGCUAACACAAUGAAACCCAGUCUCUACUAAGAAUACAAAAAAUUAGCCAGGCAUGGUUGCACGUGCCUGUAGUCCCAGCUACUUGGGAGGCUGAGGCAGGAGAAUCACUUGAACCUGGAAGGUGAAGGUUGCAGUGAGCCGAGAUUGCACCACUGCACUCCAGCCUGGGUGACAGAGAGAGACUCUGUCUCAAAAAAAAUAAAAGCAAAAUGUAAGCUGGGCACGGUGGCUCACGCCUGUAAUCCUAGCACUUUAGGAGGCCGAGGCGGGUGGAUCACAAGUCAGGAGUUCAAGACCAGCCUGGCCAAGAUGGUGAAACCCCGUCUUUACUAAAAAUACAAAAA